rnacentral:lncRNA from 1 species
AUAUAUAAGAUAUUUAAUGUUAAUUUAUAUAAAAUCAUUACAAAUAUUAAAUAACCAUAAUUAGACAAUAAUGACAACCACCACCACAACCACUAUCACCAUAAUUAUUUCAUAACUAUCCAAGCAAUCACAAAUAAUACAACAUAUAGUUCAUGCUAAUACAUCUAUCUAUUCAAAAAUACAAUAAUGAUAAUCAUUAUACCACAACCACUACCAUC